rnacentral:rRNA from 1 species
AUUGAACGCUGGCGGCAGGCCUAACACAUGCAAGUCGAACGAGUGGCGGACGGGUGAGUAAUGUCUGGUAAACUGCCUGAUGGAGGGGGAUAACUACUGGAAACGGUAGCUAAUACCGCAUACCAUCGGAUGUGCCCAGAUGGGAUUAGCUAGUAGGUGGGGUAAAGGCUCACCUAGGCGACGAUCCCUAGCUGGUCUGAGAGGAUGACCAGGCAGACGGUAACUGAGAAACGGCCGAGACAUUUAAGGGGGGAAGCAGUGGAGAAUAUUGCACAAUGGGGGAAAGCCUGAUACAGCAAUGUGGGGUGAAUGAAGAAGGACUUAGGGUUGUAAAGUACUUAAAGCAGGGAGACGUUACCCGAAAAAGAAGCACCGGCUAACUACGUGCCAGCAGCCGCGGUAAUAC